UGUUUGGGGCGAGCUGUGUGGGGAAUGGAGUAGGGCAGGGACGUUGGUGGUGCAGACACUGGAGCUGGACUUUGAGAGGGACGAGAGAGAGAGAGAGAGAGAGAGGGAGAGAGAGAGAGAGAGAGAGAGAGAGAGAGAG